rnacentral:misc_RNA from 1 species
GAUGAAGAACGCAGCGAAAUGCGAUAAGUAUUGUGAAUUGCAGAAUUCAGUGAAUCAUCGAAUCUUUGAACGCACAUUGCGCCCUCUGGUAUUCCGGGGGGCAUGCCUGUUCGAGCGUCAUUACAACCCUCAAGCUUUGCUUGGUAUUGGACAUUGCCAGUUUCUGGCAGGUCUUAAAAUCAGUGGCGGUGCCAUUUGGCUUCAAGCGUAGUAAUUCUUCUCGCUUUGGAGAUCCAAGUGGUUACUUGCCAAUAACCCCCAAUUUUUUCAGGUUGACCUCGGAUCAGGUAGGGAUACCCGCUGAACUUAAGCAUAUCAAUAAGCGGAGGA